GUUAAACGGCCGCGGUAUUCUGACCGUGCUAAGGUAGCGUAAUCACUUGUCUUUUAAAUGAAGACCCGUAUGAAUGGCAUCACGAGGGCUCAGCUGUCUCCUCUCUUUAGUCAAUGAAAUUGAUCUGCCCGUGCAGAAGCGGACAUGAUAACAUAAGACGAGAAGACCCUAUGGAGCUUAAGACAAAGGGCCAACCAUGUUAAACUACUAAUGAACCGACCGGGUUAAGAAGUAAUCAAGCUCUGUGGCACAUGGCCGGAAUGUCUUCGGUUGGGGCGACCUCGGAGGAAAACCAAGCCUCCGCGUGGAAUGGGGGUAAUGACCUUCCCCUAGAACUAAGAACCACAAAUCUAAGUAGCAAAAAUUUUGACCAUUAAUGACCCGGAAUAAAUCCGAUCAACGAACCAAGUUACCCUAGGGAUAACAGCGCAAUCCCUUCCCAGAGUCCAUAUCGACGAAGGGGUUUACGACCUCGAUGUUGGAUCAGGACAUCCUAAUGGUGCAGCCGCUAUUAAGGGUUCGUUUGUUCAACGAUUAAAGUCCU
rnacentral:rRNA from 1 species